rnacentral:rRNA from 1 species
CCCAUUAAUAAGCGGAGGAAAAGAAACUAACAAGGAUUCCCCUAGUAACUGCGAGUGAAGCGGGAAAAGCUCAAAUUUAAAAUCUGGCGGUUCUGCCGCCCGAGUUGUAAUCUGGAGAAGCGUUUUCUGUGCUGGACCGUGUACAAGUCUCUUGGAACAGAGCGUCAUAGAGGGUGAGAAUCCCGUCCAUGACACGGACGCCCAGUGCUAUGUGAUACGUUUUCAAAGAGUCGAGUUGUUUGGGAAUGCAGCUCAAAAUGGGUGGUAAGCUCCAUCUAAAGCUAAAUAUUGGCGAAAGACCGAUAGCGAACAAGUACCGUGAGGGAAAGAUGAAAAGCACUUUGGAAAGAGAGUUAAACAGUACGUGAAAUUGUUGAAAGGGAAACGCUUGAAGUUAGUCGCGUCUUACUUGACUCAGCCUUGCCUCGGCUUGGUGUAUUUCAUGUGAGACGGGUCAACAUCGAUUUUGACCGGCAGAGAAGGGGAGCGAGAAUGUGGCAUUCUUCGGAGUGUGUUAUAGCUUACUCUCAUAUGUGUCGGUUGGGAUCGAGGCCCGCAGCGCGCCCUUGUGGCCGGAGGUUCGUCUUACGUUACGCGCUUGGGAUGUUGGCAUAAUGGCUUUAAGCGACCCGUUUUGAAACA